UUUACCCGCUGGAAUUUAAGCAUAUCAAUAAGCGGAGGAAAGGAAACUAACCAGGAUUCCCGUAGUAACGGCGAGUGAACGGGGAAGAGCCCAGCGCCGAAUCGCACGGUCUCGAGCCGUCGUGAACUGUGGCGUGCGGGACCACUUAAGUCGGGCUUUGGCGACGCCGGAGUCCUCCUGAUCGAGGCUGCCCAGAGCGGGUGUCAGGCCCAUGCGGGCGCCAGCCGGGUUCGACUACGUGGUUACCCUGGAGUCGGGUUGUUUGGGAAUGCAGCCCGAAGCGGGUGGUAAGCUCCAUCUAAGGCUAAGUACUGGCACGAGACCGAUAGCGGACAAGUACCUUGAGGGAAAGUUGAAAAGAACUUUGAAAG
rnacentral:rRNA from 1 species